GGUGGAUGCCUUGGCACCAGGAGCCGAUGAAGGACGUAGGAGCCUGCGAUAAGCCUCGGGGAGUUGGCAACCAAACUGUGAUCCGAGGAUUUCCGAAUGGGGAAACCCGGCUGGAUUCAUCUCCAGUCACCCACGCCUGAACACAUAGGGCGUGCGGAGGGAACGUGGGGAAGUGAAACAUCUCAGUACCCACAGGAAGAGAAAGCAACCGCGAUUCCGUUAGUAGUGGCGAGCGAAAGCGGAAGAGGCCAAACCGUGUACGUGUGAUAGCCGGCAGGCGUUGCGUGCGCGGGGUUGUGGGACCUAUCAGUCCGAACUGCCGUUCGGGCGGGGAGUCAAAAAUGCGCGUCAUAGUCGAAGGGUCUUGAAAGGCCCGGCACAGAGGGUGCCACCCCCGUAGACGAAAUGACGCACACUCCCGAUGGGGAUCCCAAGUAGUACGGGGCCCGAGAAAUCCCGUACGAAUCUGGGGGGACCACCCCCUAAGCCUAAAUACUCCCUGGUGACCGAUAGCGGAACAGUACCGUGAGGG
rnacentral:rRNA from 1 species